AGUGGUACAGCUGGAGAUUCACUCAGAAGUCAUCGUUUUAAAAAAUUUUCCACAUCUGAUAGGGAUAAUGAUGAUUAUAAAGAAGGAAAUUGCGCCAAAUUAAACCAAAAUGGCUGGUGGUACCAUAGUUGUUAUCAAAGCAAGUUGACCGGGGUAUAUAUUAAAACUUCCAAGGGAAAAGGUCUCAUUUGGAGCAGUUUUCGGGGCCUUGAGUACUCCCAUAAAAGUGCCAUUAUGAUGAUACGGCCGAAGAAGUGAACACAAUGUCUAUACACUAUCAAAAUCUGUGCUAUCAGCAUAUUCUAAUAUAUUGUAGAAUCCCCUUAUCUUUAUUCUAAUAUGCAUAAUCGUUGUUAAUUUAAAUAAACAAAAUUGUCACUGUCUCAACGUA